rnacentral:lncRNA from 1 species
CAGAUGUCCCAAGUCGCCUCUGGUUGAGAACCACUGCCCUGGAGACUCUGACCGGUGAGGAUGCUGCAUCAUACAGGAUGUCCUUUCUGCAAGAAAGAAUUCACGCGAGAGCAUCUCUGCAGUCUGUCGCCGUGGCGGUUGGUCCCGCAGCAGGGUUAACACAAGCCCUCUGUGUUGAGAUUCACAGCGGGGAGGCUGAAGCUCGAGGCCGGUACUCAGAGUGUGGCAGCUUUGACCACGGUGUGUCCAGCCGUAAGCGAUGCUCUGCGGAUCAGCCUUUCUUCCCGGUCACCACUGGCUAAACGCUCCUGAUAAGCAAGUGCCCGGCUGAACAGGUGACCUCGAGUCUUUGCACGGUAUCCCCCUGAGCCUCACCGAAAUCUGCAGAAGGGGGUCCGACGAGUCCACUCAGAAACAAAGAAACAAGCUUAGCGGGUGGUCGUUUGCAGAGUCACGGCCUUUCAUCCACCCUGGGUACCUCCUCCUGCCGUUUUCCCGGCCUUGUGAUUGGGGAAACACGUCUGUCAACUCUGUACCCUCUUGGAGUAAAAGCGCCGGUGUGAGAAUUACUGUGGCAGUCGGUUGCGUGCACUUCGGGGCAAGCCCCUAAGUCCACGUUUAAAUAAACCGGGCACAGGCGGCCUGGCACCGAGGGCCAUUUUCUUACGGUGUCCCUUGCUCGUCGGAAGCUCGGAGGUGGAACUCAGGCCUGGAUAGAUCCAGAGACAGACAGACAGACGGACGGACUUGCGUUGGAUGUAUUUCUGACCAUUGAGCACAUCACAUGUUGGGUAAAACUCCGGUUUGGGAGCCCCCGGGUUGCCACUGUCGCGCUGUGUGAUCCCGGGCAGCUUGCUGAGGUGUGUGGUGAGCUUCGGCUUUCUCCUCAGUUUCGGGGGCUGCUGCAGGUCCCACCCUGGAGCAGGGGCGUGAGGCUGGCAGGCGGGAUUCAUGUGAAGCGCCCGAGAGACAACAAGCUGGGUCUUCCUGGUUCUGUCCUGGGAGCUCGGGACCCCCCCAGCACCAGCCCGGAUGCUGUGGUCAGCCAUCCUCUUUGGUGCCAGGAGUUCCCCCAAACCAUCCGUUCCAGCCCCCCUGACCCAGGCCACCCUCCCCACAGAUCUGCCCAGAGUGGAAGGCUUGACCUCGAGGGCUCCCAGUUCUCCCCCCCGACCCGGGUUCGAGUCUGCGUUACUUAGCAGACUUGCACUCCCAGCCCAGCCUCGCCUCCCCACUGUGGUCCCUGCCUCACCCGUUCAUCCUUCUAGACCCAUCUGUCUUGGCAUCUCUGCCCAGCCCCCUUCCUGGGUGCACCUGCUUCGGGUCCCCUCCCCCGGCCAUAGACUGGUGGUGAUGGCUGGUGUCUUGGUUUGAGUUUCCCCCAAAGAGACUCUGAGACAGGGUGUGGGCACACGGGCUUUACUGGGGAGAUGAUCCCGGGAAGUGCCAGGAGGAGGGGCAGGGACAUCCCUGCAGCCCCUCUGUGGUUCCAGGAGUGAGUUCCCCUGGGGUCUCUGGGAGCCAGUGUCGCCCCGCCAAGGGGGGAGGGAGCUGGGCUGUCUACACGCCAGUCCGUAUUAAGUUCUGGUUGGUGCUGCUCCAGGGGUGACUCCAUGCCUACCUUGGCCUGCUCAGGGCAUCACGCCCAGAGAAAGCGCCGAGGCAAAGGCAUGUCCAUGCUGGCAGCUGCAAGUCAGGGUUCGAGGACCAGGAUGGGGCAUGAGGGCACGUGGCAGAGAGGGCACGUGGCCGGAGCUGGACCUAUCAUGUCCUCCCUGGGAUUUUGUGUCUCAUUUUACAGUCAGAUGGAAAGUGCGGUCUGAUGGGACAUAGAUGGAGUCAUAGCUGCCAGCGGCCACCUUCUCGGCCUGGUGGUGAUGGCUGGUGUCUUGGUUUGAGUUUCCCCCAAAGAGACUCUGAGACAGGGUGUGGGCACACGGAGUGACCAGAGCAGCCAGGUGGGGCCCAGAGAGGCGGGGGAGCAGGGGAACGUGGUCGUUGUCUUUGCGUCCUGGUCUCAGAUGUCCCUGAAACCAGUCUGUCGUGUCCCCCAGGCCUCUCACUCAUAGCAGCCGGCAUGUCACCUCUUUUUCUUCCUCAGUCUGUCCUAGUUAUGGUUCCGUGACCCGCAGCUGGCCCCGCGUCCUGUCCCCCAGCCUCCUCACCCCUCGACCCAGACGCCUGCCGCUCAGAAGCCUCUAGGUCGUGUUCCUGCCCUGGGCACAGAGGGCGCAUUGACCACUCGCCCGGGGUCCCUCUGUCCAAAGGCUCACCUCAUGUCUGCCUUAUUCAUCUUUUUUCCAGGACGGCCUGGUCCCAAGAAAGUCCUCAGUAAAUGUCAUCCAACAGAAUAAAAAAUGAACUCCGGCAUUCACUUAUUUUUAAAAAAAUCUGUUUACACUUCGUGCUUGUAUUCCUUCUUGUGGGGAAACUCGAGUUGGGUAAAUUUACCCUUCGCCGUUGGAGGAAGAAUCCCUUUAAUUCGCCCUCAACUACUUCUUUCGAGCUCGAAGUGGCCGCCCGUCGUCGUCCAAGGCUUGGUGUUCCCUUUCCCUACGUGAGUCAUGGUUUUAAUAUAGUUAAACACCACCGCAGCUCGGCCGUCGGCCUCCCGGGUUCUCCUCGUAAAAAGCCCUCCUCUCUUUGUGCGGCGGGACUUGCUCGGCGCGUCCCUCCUGAAGUGUCAGCGCGCCUUCUGGCGAGUAGCGGGCACUCAACCAGUGGUCGGGGGCUCGAAGAAGGAGCCCAGGUGUCUGUCCCCGGAGAAGAGGGCGCCUCCGGCCUCUCCUCCCCGAGCUCCAGGGUCCUUGACUUAGUUUGGGUUC